GAAGUAAAAGUCGUAACAAGGUCUCCGUUGGUGAACCAGCGGAGGGGAUCAUUA
rnacentral:rRNA from 1 species